rnacentral:siRNA from 1 species
GAGAUUGGGCUAGAGUUUUGGA